rnacentral:misc_RNA from 1 species
AAAGUCGUAACAAGGUUUCCGUAGGUGAACCUGCGGAAGGAUCAUUAACACGUAUCCAACGUUAAACCCCCCUGUGAACCUGUUCAAUCGCGCUCUCCUCGACAAAGAUGGAACAGCAAUCCUGGUAAAUCAGUGGGAGAAAAUUGAUUUUGAUUCAGGACCUCUGUCUACUGUCGGGGAUCGAACGCUGGACGCACGAACCUACCCUGAAUUGAGCUUAGGGAACUCAUUUGCUUCACAAUCAUCGGUCGAUCACCGGCCAUUUGACCAGGACGUGGCCCCUAAAAAGGUCCCUUUAAAUAUUGACUACUAGUUAUUACCACGCCUAGACCCAACGCAAGUGCACCGGGAGGCUAGGUCAAAACGAACAACUGUUAACAAUGGAUAUCUCGGUUCUC